GGCAAUUAUGGCAGAGUGUUCAGGGACAGCGAUGAGGGCAGCUUUGGGUCAGUUGUGUGGCACCUGUGGGACAGACAUGAGGGCAGUGUUGGACUGUGAUGACGACGGUGAUGGAUCCAUGAGGAGGCACUAGGUGUUUUGUAGUCAAACACACCAGAGCCUUGAAUCCCAGCUCUUUCUUACUAGCUGUACAACAUGGACAGAUCAUGUUACCUCUCUGAGCCUUAGUUUCAUCCUCUAUAACAUCAGGACUAUGAUAGUGCCUGCCCCACUGGGUGACUGUGAGGACUGAAGGAGAGACUGUGUGUGAGUGUCCUGCUCAGUGCUGGCACAGAGGCCACCUGAUGAGUCUCAGCUCUGAUCACCCCAAACACAUUCCCACCUGAUCAGGUUCUCCACACAGAUGGACCUGCAGGCCCUGAAAACUUCUCAGUCCUUUCACGUCAAGUAAUGUGGGUGAGGUUCUGCCACUGAAUUCCCAGGGUGAGCCUGGCUUGGAGUGAGGCUGGUGGGGAGUGGGGGGAACUGACUCUUGGCGACUGAGUUCCCCUAUCUUUCAGGUGGAAGUUUGCGAAAAAAGGUUGACUGCUCUGGAAGUCAAGGUACAGAAACAUGAUCGGGAACAGCAGGCAGGCAUUUUGGCCCGAGGCUGAGAACACUCCACCAGCUGGAGGACCCCCACCUGAUUGCCGUCCACUCCAGGAAGAGCUGAUGAGGUUCCCAGCCUAGGAGCACCUACAUCUGGGGUGGAGAGAAGUCAACAUUGCCCACGUGUGUCUCAGUGGAACUGGAUCUCAUUCUGCAAUGCAGUGAGGCUAGCCCUGGAUUAUUGUCUCGUCUCUGGACUCAGCCUUAGGCAGUCACCUCUAUGAUCUACGUCAUGGAAACGUUGGCCGUUGGUGUUGAAAGUCAAACCUUUGAAAUUCAAAAAAUCUUUUCUCUCCUCUAUGGCCUGACUCUUGCCAUGUAGAAUCACGUGUUGGCUUUCAGAAGUUCGCUUUUGUUAGAGGUUUGAAAAUCCAUUCAGAAAUGCAGCUGACUUACAUUGUCUAUUGUUCAUACCCACCCCCAAUUUAGGGCUAUGACUAAGGAGAGCUGUCACUGAGGCCUGGGUGGUGGGGCAGGAUAAUGGUUACACAGGGGUUUGAUGCUGGUGACAAAGAGGCCUCAUUGGCUG